rnacentral:rRNA from 1 species
CACAUGCAAGUCGAGCGAAUGAAGUUCCUUCGGGAACGGAUUUAGCGGCGGACGGGUGAGUAACACGUGGGCAACCUGCCUCAUAGAGGGAAUAGCCUUCCGAAAGGGAGAUUAAUACCGCAUAAGAUUGUAGUACCGCAUGGUACAGCAAUUAAAGGAGCAAUCCGCUAUGAGAUGGGCCCGCGGCGCAUUAGCUAGUUGGUGAGGUAACGGCUCACCAAGGCGACGAUGCGCAGCCGACCUGAGAGGGUGAUCGGCCACAUUGGGACUGAGACACGGCCCAGACUCCUACGGGAGGCAGCAGUGGGGAAUAUUGCACAAUGGGGGAAACCCUGAUGCAGCAACGCCGCGUGAGUGAUGACGGCCUUCGGGUUGUAAAGCUCUGUCUUCAGGGACGAUAAAUGACGGUACCUGAGGAGGAAGCCACGGCUAACUACGUG